CCUACGGGUGGCAGCAGUGGGGAAUAUUGGACAAUGGACCAAGAGUCUGAUCCAGCAAUUCUGUGUGCACGAUGAAGUUUUUCGGAAUGUAAAGUGCUUUCAGUUGGGAAGAAAAAAAUGACGGUACCAACAGAAGAAGUGACGGCUAAAUACGUGCCAGCAGCCGCGGUAAUACGUAUGUCACAAGCGUUAUCCGGAUUUAUUGGGCGUAAAGCGCGUCUAGGUGGUUAUAUAAGUCUGAUGUGAAAAUGCAGGGCUCAACUCUGUAUUGCGUUGGAAACUGUGUAACUAGAGUACUGGAGAGGUAAGCGGAACUACAAGUGUAGAGGUGAAAUUCGUAGAUAUUUGUAGGAAUGCCGAUGGGGAAGCCAGCUUACUGGACAGAUACUGACGCUGAAGCGCGAAAGCGUGGGUAGCAAACAGGAUUAGAUACCCGUGUAGUC
rnacentral:rRNA from 1 species